rnacentral:rRNA from 1 species
GUCGCAAGACUGAGACUCAGAAGGAGUUGACGGGGGGCCGCACAAAGCGGUGGAGCAGGGUGAGUCAAUUCGACGCGACGCGAAGAGCCUUACCUGGGCUCGAACGACUGGCCAACGGCGGCGGAAACGCUGCUACCCCGCAAGGGGGUCUAGUCGAGGUGCUGCAUGGCUGUCGUCAGCUCGUGUCGUGAGAUGUUGGGUUAAGUCCCGCAACGAGCGCAGCCCCUGUCCUGUGUUGCCAUGCCCGCAAGGGCGGAACUCGCAGGAGACCGCUACCGAUAAGGUGGAGGAAGGUGGGGAUGACGUCAAGUCCUCAUGGCCUUUAUGUCCAGGGCUACACACGUGCUACAAUGGACGGUACAAAGCGCCGCGAAGCCGCGAGGCGAAGCCAAUCGCAAAAAACCGUUCUCAGUUCGGAUUGCAGGCUGCAACUCGCCUGCAUGAAGCUGGAAUCGCUAGUAAUGGCGUAUCAGAACGACGCCGUGAAUACGUUCCCGGGCCUUGUACACACCGCCCGUCACAUCACGAAAGUGGAUUGUACUAGAAGUCUGCGUGCCGACCCGCGAGGGGGGCAGCGGCCCAAGGUAUGAUUCAUGAUUGGGGUGAAGUCGUAACAAGGUAGCCGUAGGAGAACCUGCGGCUGGAUCACC